GCUACGGGAGGCAGCAGUGAGGAAUAUUGGUCAAUGGGCGAGAGCCUGAACCAGCCAAGUCGCGUGAAGGAUGAAGGCCCUACGGGUUGUAAACUUCUUUUGUCAGGGAGCAAUUGGGUCCAGGCGUGGGCUUAGCGAGAGUACCUGAAGAAAAAGCAUCGGCUAACUCCGUGCCAGCAGCCGCGGUAAUACGGAGGAUGCGAGCGUUAUCCGGAUUUAUUGGGUUUAAAGGGUGCGUAGGCGGAAUAUCCAGUCCGCGGUGACAAUUCGGGUCUCAACCCCGUCGUGCCGUUGAAACUGAUGUUCUUGAGGUGGCGCGAAGUAUGCGGAAUGCGUGGUGGAGCGGUGAAAUGCAUAGAUAUCACGCAGAACUCCGAUUGCGAAGGCAGCAUACCGGCGCCCAACUGACGCUGAAGCACGAAAGCGUGGGUAUCGAACAGGAGUAGAUACCCCUGUAGUC
rnacentral:rRNA from 1 species